AGCAGCCGCGGUAAUUCCAGCUCCAAUAGCGUAUAUUAAAGUUGUUGCAGUUAAAAAGCUCGUAGUUGAAUUUCGGGAUCAGUAGGUUGGUCAUGCCUCUGGUAUGUACUGGUCUCACUGGUUCCUCCUUCCUGAUGAACCGUAAUGCCAUUAAUUUGGUGUUGCGGGGAGACUGGACUGUUACUUUGAAAAAAUUAGAGUGUUUAAAGCAGGCUUACGCUUGAAUACAUUAGCAUGGAAUAAUGAAAUAGGACGUUCGAUCCUAUUUUGUUGGUUUCUAGGAUUGACGUAAUGAUUAAUAGGGAUAGUUGGGGGCAUUAGUAUUCAAUUGUCAGAGGUGAAAAUUCUUGGAUUUAUUGAAGACUAACUACUGCGAAAGCAUUUGCCAAGGAUGUUUUCAUUAAUCAAGAACGAAAGUUAGGGGAUCGAAGACGAUCAGAUACCGUCGUA
rnacentral:rRNA from 1 species